rnacentral:rRNA from 1 species
AUUGAACGCUGGCGGCAUGCUUUACACAUGCAAGUCGAACGGCAGCGCGGGCUUCGGCCUGGCGGCGAGUGGCGAACGGGUGAGUAAUACAUCGGAACGUGCCCAGUAGUGGGGGAUAGCUCGGCGAAAGCCGGAUUAAUACCGCAUACGACCUGAGGGUGAAAGCGGGGGAUCUUCGGACCUCGCGCUAUUGGAGCGGCCGAUGGCAGAUUAGCUAGUUGGUGGGGUAAAGGCCUACCAAGGCGACGAUCUGUAGCUGGUCUGAGAGGACGACCAGCCACACUGGGACUGAGACACGGCCCAGACUCCUACGGGAGGCAGCAGUGGGGAAUUUUGGACAAUGUGCGAAAGCCUGAUCCAGCAAUGCCGCGUGUGUGAUGAAGGCCUUCGGGUUGUAAAGCACUUUUGGCGGGAACGAAAAGGACUGUGCCAAUACCACGGUUCGAUGACGGUACCCGCAGAAUAAGCACCGGCUAACUACGUG